rnacentral:rRNA from 1 species
GAUGAACGCUGGCGGCGUGCCUAAUACAUGCAAGUCGAGCGAACAGAUAAGGAGCUUGCUCCUUUGACGUUAGCGGCGGACGGGUGAGUAACACGUGGGUAACCUACCUAUAAGACUGGAAUAACUCCGGGAAAGCGGGGCUAACGCCGGAUAACAUUUAGAACCGCAUGGGUCUAAAGAGAAAGAUGGUGUUGCUAUCACUAAUAGAUGGACCCGCGCCGUUUUAGUUGGUUGGUGAGGUAACGGCUUACCAAGGCGACGAUACGUAGACGACCUGAGUGGAUGAUCGGCCACCUGAGAGCGUGGACACGCACCAGGCGCCUACGAGAGGCAGCAGUAGGGAAUGUGCCGCAGUGGGCGAAAGCCUUACGCAGCAAGGCCACGUCAGUGAUGGAGGUCUUCGGAGCGUAAAGCUCUGUUAUGAGUGAUAAACAAAUUUGUAAUUAGAUGAGCACUGCUUGACGGUACCGAGUCAAAAAGCCACGGCUAACUACGUG